AGGUAAGACAUGCACUGCAACUUACAACUAUGAAGCAAUCUAACUGGUCCCAGUUACAUGCUUUAAAUCAGAUUUCAAAGAGUAUGGUCAUGUUAAUCUUUAUAUACGAGGCUUCAGUGCAGAUUCUUGGUCAACAUAUGGAUUUGCUGUCCAUUAGUUGGAAUCCUCUCUUUGGGUGACUGGCUGGAGCAAGGAGGAAAGAAGUGGUGGUGUCAGUGAGUCAAGUUGAACAACAGUUGUCAUUGGCUGGCCAGUAUCUCUCAGAAUGAAAUAUGGAUAUUGGAGUCCUGUGACUGACCUUGCUGUGAAAAAGCUGUUGCAGAUGCAUAAUCAAUUUAAUUUCCAGAUGAAAAUGGAUAGUCU